CCUACGGGAGGCAGCAGUAGGGAAUAUUGCUCAAUGGGGGAAACCCUGAAGCAGCAACGCCGCGUGGAGGAUGAAGGUUUUCGGAUUGUAAACUCCUUUUGUUAGAGAAGAUAAUGACGGUAUUUAACGAAUAAGCACCGGCUAACUCCGUGCCAGCAGCCGCGGUCAUACGGAGGGUGCAAGCGUUACCCGGAAUCACUGGGCGUAAAGAGCGCGUAGGCGGGAGAGCAAGUCAGAUGUGAAAUCCUAUGGCUUAACCAUAGAACUGCAUUUGAAACUGUGAGUCUAGAGUGUGGGAGAGGGAAGUGGAAUUCUUGGGGUAGGAGUGAAAUGCGUAGAGAUCGAGAGGAAUAAUCGUUGCGAAGGCGGCCUGCUGGAACAUAACUGACGCUGAGGCGCGAAGGCGUGGGGAGCGAACGGGAUUAGAUACCCGGGUAGUC
rnacentral:rRNA from 1 species